UAGGAGUCACUGUAGCUUAUGUGCUUUGUUAGAGUUAGCUAUAAAAUAUUAGCUAAAAGUAAAUACUUCUGAGCCGUCCGAGGGAGCUUUUCUUGGGCAAGGAGCUGAUAUUGAUCUAGAUAAUGCUUGGUUGUACCAUAAGUGCAGGGGACUGGACUAGAUGACCUUGUGAGGUCCCUUCUAGUCCUACAUUUCUGUGAUUCUAUGACUCUAAACUCCCCAUCAGCUAGCCAGAAAGAGGGCCCCUGGAAACCUAGCUGGUGAUCUCUCAAAAACAUCUUAGACUUUUGUCUCCCUGAUGUCAGGUGGUUCUUGAAGUGAAAGAACAAAAAUACCAUGAGAACCAAGAAGCACUGAUGAGAACCAAGAAGCACUGUAAAUCUUCUUGUGAGAUCUUCAACUCCAAGAGGUUCCAGUGAGCUCUGGCUGAACAUCCAGAGGCUGCAGCCCAGAUGGGGAUCCCAUUGUGCUAGAGGCACCUAAUAAGAAACAGCUUUACCAACUAUACACAAACUACAUGCAGAGAGACCCAUUUCAGCCACCACUGAAGUGCAGUCACCUCAAGGGAGGAAUGUGGCAGCUGUUUCACAGCAACACACUCUGACAUUUUAGGACAGGAAGUGAAGACUCUUGUAUUUCGCUGAAAAUGCAAGUGGAAUUGAAGUAAGCAGAAUGUAAUUACCUGAGUUGGAAUUUGGCCAAGACAUCAGGGUUAACAACCCUAAUCUUGCAAAAAAUGCCAUGGGAUCUUUAAUGACCAUGGCCGGCCAAGACCUUAAUUUUACAUCUCCUCUAAAAAGCGACUGUGCACAUUUUAACAGUUUUUUUUUUACUCUCAUGCUGCUAGCAUGGCCAAUUCUGUGUCCUCUCUUAGGUGCUUACAACCGUGGCCAGCACAGACCUGGGGAAGAAAAUCCUAAAACACAAUCGACCUUCAAAACUUUUCUUUACAGACCAACAAGCAAAAACCCUGAAGGAAUUUAACUGAGUUUAUCCAAAGCAACGCUUGCAACCUCAUUCAAUAUUUGCCUGCAAAAAAAAAAAUGCCAUUUAUUGGGAGACAGUCCUGGCUGGGCAUCAAUAGGCAGCCAGGUGUGAGAAGUUGAAGAGAAAUACAUCUCAUUAAUGU